UCACUUCCACGGUUCCACCACACCACUGUACCGCUCACCCUCUUCACUUCCACCACGCCACUGCGAUUAACAGAAGAAUGAAGAAUCAGAAGAAAAAAAGAAAAACAAAGCUGAUGUUGAUUUUGAGAUUCUAGACGCCAAAUAGAUCUCCCAAAAUCAAAGAAACAUGGAGCAUCAUAUGCAUCAUCAUCGGGAGCGUCUGAUUGGUUUGAUUUUGGGUUUUGGAGUUUUUAAUUUCAUUUGUGGAGUAACAAUUUUGUGGGUUCUAUCUCUUGUUUGAAUUUGACUUGAGAUUGAAAUUUGGAUUUGUCAUUCAACGAUUUAUAAUUGGGUACAUAUCUUGCAAUUGAACCAAAUCGUUACAUUUGAAGGUUCAAAAUUUCGUAUUGUGAAGAUCAUCGGUUCAUAAGAAGAAGAUGAUGGGAGAUUAGGGUUUUUUCUGAAUUAGGGAAGGAAUCGACAGAAUUAGGAAUUUUGUUGUCAAAAAUCAGCACGGAAGUGAAUCGAGAAUUUGUACUUGUGGUGUCUGUUUCCCUUUCUAUUGUUUUAAAUUAUGGUUUACAUAUCAUAUUUGAAGAAGAUGAAUGUACAAUAUUGUAUCGGAGAUUCAAAAUGUAAGAGGAAUUUCGUUGUGUAUGUAUUGCCAUUGAUGUUGACAAGGGUGUGGUUUGCUGCACAGAUGAACAAUGGAUCUGAGUCUGUUGAGUUGGCGGUGUAAUGGCCUAGCCUGAGGUUGAUUGAUACAUAGAUGGUGGAUGAGAUUGGUAUCAGAAGUUGUGGUUGUGAAUUUGCAGUGACUAGAUGUAUGUUUAGGUUGUCUAUGAGACAGAAGACAAGCAGUGGGGUUUGUUUUUGAGCUGGUGAGCUUUACGCUGAGAUUAGAAAGUGAGCAGGAAGAGGUGAUGUGGUUCAGUUGGCUAAAACGGGUGUGAAAAAAUCUUGUUGUAGUAAUUACAAGUGGAGAUAAAAUGGCUAGGAAUUGGUGGUUGAUUGAGUAUCAGGUUAAGAGGUGCAAGCUGGUGAUAGCAGUUGUGGAUAUGAUAUGCUGCAGUGAUGAUUCAUGUGUAGUUCAGCUGUUACUGUUGGUGUAUGGCAGAGAAACAAGAAGGAAAUAGUUCAGAUUGUGGUGUUGGUGUGAAGGCAGGGUCUGAGCAGCUGAAGCUAAGAAGAAGUUUGCCUGAAUGAUUUUGAUGUAAUGUAAAUUCUAAUAAAGUGAAGGUUAUGUUUGUAAUCUGGUUUCACAUUUUAAUUUUAUGUAAAUUUAUUCAUAAUUUGUAAACAAAAAGUCAAGAUUUAACUUGGUCAAUGGAAGUCAACGU